rnacentral:rRNA from 1 species
GAUGAACGCUAGCGGCAGGCCUAAUACAUGCAAGUCGAACGGGAUCUGAGGGUAGCUUGCUACCCGAUUUGAGAGUGGCGCACGGGUGCGUAACGCGUGAGCAACCUACCCAUAUCAGGGGGAUAGCCCGAAGAAAUUCGGAUUAACACCGCAUAAUAAUACGCUAACACAUGUUGAUGUAUUUAAAUAUUUAUAGGAUAUGGAUGGGCUGGCAUGACAUUAGCUAGUUGGUAAGGUAACGGCUUACCAAGGCGACGAUGUCUAGGGGCUCUGAGAGGAGAAUCCCCCACACUGGUACUGAGACACGGACCAGACUCCUACGGGAGGCAGCAGUAAGGAAUAUUGGUCAAUGGGCGCAAGCCUGAACCAGCCAUGCCGCGUGCAGGAUGACUGCCCUAUGGGUUGUAAACUGCUUUUGUUAGGGAAUAAACCUUCUUACGUGUAAGGAGCUGAAUGUACCUAAAGAAUAAGGAUCGGCUAACUCCGUGCCAGCAGCCGCGGUAACAC